CGAACGGGUGAGUAAUACAUCGGAACGUGCCCGAUCGUGGGGGAUAACGAGGCGAAAGCUUUGCUAAUACCGCAUACGAUCUACGGAUGAAAGCGGGGGAUCUUCGGACCUCGCGCGGACGGAGCGGCCGAUGGCCGAUUAGGUAGUUGGUGGGAUAAAAGCUUACCAAGCCGACGAUCUGUAGCUGGUCUGAGAGGAUGAUCAGCCACACUGGGACUGAGACACGGCCCAC
rnacentral:rRNA from 1 species